AGCAUAUCAAUAAGCGGAGGAAAAGAAACCAACAGGGAUUACCUCAGUAACGGCGAGUGAAGCGGUAACAGCUCAAAUUUGAAAGCUAGCUCUUUUAGGGUUCGCAUUGUAAUUUGUAGAAGAUGCUUCGGGUGUGGCCCCGGUCUAAGUUCCUUGGAACAGGACGUCAUAGAGGGUGAGAAUCCCGUAUGUGACUGGGUGCUUUCGCUCAUGUGAAGCUCUUUCGACGAGUCGAGUUGUUUGGGAAUGCAGCUCAAAAUGGGUGGUAAAUUUCAUCUAAAGCUAAAUAUUGGCCAGAGACCGAUAGCGCACAAGUAGAGUGAUCGAAAGAUGAAAAGCACUUUGGAAAGAGAGUUAAACAGUACGUGAAAUUGUUGAAAGGGAAGCGCUUGCAACCAGACUUGCGCGCUGAUGAUCAUCCGGGCUUCUGUCCGGUGCACUCGUCUGCGCUCAGGCCAGCAUCGGUUUCGGUGGUGGGAUAAAGGCCUUGGGAAUGUAGCUUCUUUCGGGGAGUGUUAUAGCCCUCGGUGCAAUGCCGCCUACCGGGACCGAGGACCGCGCUUCGGCUAGGAUGCUGGCGUAAUGGUUGUAAGCGACCCGUCUUGAAACACGGACCAAGGAGUCUAACAUCUAUGCGAGUGUUUGGGUGUCAAACCCAUACGCGUAAUGAAAGUGAACGGAGGUGAGAACCCUUAAGGGUGCAUCAUCGACCGAUCCUGAUGUCUUCGGAUGGAUUUGAGUAAGAGCAUAGCUGUUGGGACCCGAAAGAUGGUGAACUAUGCGUGAAUAGGGUGAAGCCAGAGGAAACUCUGGUGGAGGCUCGCAGCGGUUCUGACGUGCAAAUCGAUCGUCAAAUUUGCGUAUAGGGGCGAAAGACUAAUCGAA
rnacentral:rRNA from 1 species